AUGGAUUCCCAGAAAAGCGAACCUCAAAAGCCAUCUUCGUGUCGAAGGAAGAAGAACGAGGAAGCCACUUUCAUUGAGGAUUUGAAGGAUCACAUCGACGAGUUCAUUCAUGCUUCUAUGGAUGAACACAAAACUUGCUUUCAGAAAACAAUUAACAAGAUGUUUGGUUUGUCUAAGGCUGUUCAGGAAAAGAACUCUAAUGCUGCCAAUGGAGUUGAAAGUUCUUUGCCUCUUCGAACAACACUUCAAGAAUAA